rnacentral:rRNA from 1 species
GAUGAACGCUGGCGGCGUGCCUAAUACAUGCAAGUCGAGCGAACGGACGAGAAGCUUGCUUCUCUGAUGUUAGCGGCGGACGGGUGAGUAACACGUGGAUAACCUACCUAUAAGACUGGGAUAACUUCGGGAAACCGGAGCUAAUACCGGAUAAUAUUUUGAACCGCAUGGUUCAAAAGUGAAAGACGGUCUUGCUGUCACUUAUAGAUGGAUCCGCGCUGCAUUAGCUAGUUGGUAAGGUAACGGCUUACCAAGGCAACGAUGCAUAGCCGACCUGAGAGGGUGAUAGGCCACCCUGGAACUGAGACACGGUCCAGACUCCUACGGGAGGCAGCAGUAGGGAAUCUUCCGCAAUGGGCGAAAGCCUGACGGAGCAACGCCGCGUGAGUGAUGAAGGUCUUCGGAUCGUAAAACUCUGUUAUUAGGGAAGAACAUAUGUGUAAGUAACUGUGCCCAUCUUGACGGUACCUAAUCAGAAAGCCACGGCUAACUACGUG